rnacentral:tRNA from 8 species
GGCCAGGUAGUUCAGCUGGUUAGAACGCCGGCCUGUCACGCCGGAGGUCGAGGGUUCGAACCCCUUCCUGGUCGCCA